UGCAGUCGAGCGGUACACAGGGAGCUUGCUCCUGGGUGACGAGCGGCGGACGGGUGAGUAAUGUCUGGGAAACUGCCUGAUGGAGGGGGAUAACUACUGGAAACGGUAGCUAAUACCGCAUAACGUCGCAAGACCAAAGAGGGGGACCUUCGGGCCUCUUGCCAUCAGAUGUGCCCAGAUGGGAUUAGCUAGUAGGUGGGGUAACGGCUCACCUAGGCGACGAUCCCUAGCUGGUCUGAGAGGAUGACCAGCCCACUGGAACUGAGACACGGUCCAGACUCCUACGGGAGGCAGCAGUGGGGAAUAUUGCACAAUGGGCGCAAGCCUGAUGCAGCCAUGCCGCGUGUAUGAAGAAGGCCUUCGGGUUGUAAAGUACUUUCAGCGGGGAGGAAGGCGAUAAGGUUAAUAACCUUGUCGAUUGACGUUACCCGCAGAAGAAGCACCGGCUAACUCCGUGCCAGCAGCCGCGGUAAUACGGAGGGUGCAAGCGUUAAUCGGAAUUACUGGGCGUAAAGCGCACGCAGGCGGUCUGUCAAGUCGGAUGUGAAAUCCCCGGGCUCAACCUGGGAACUGCAUUCGAAACUGGCAGGCUAGAGUCUUGUAGAGGGGGGUAGAAUUCCAGGUGUAGCGGUGAAAUGCGUAGAGAUCUGGAGGAAUACCGGUGGCGAAGCGGCCCCCUGGACAAAGACUGACGCUCAGUGCGAAAGCGUGGGGAGCAAACAGGAUUAGAUACCCU
rnacentral:rRNA from 1 species